rnacentral:rRNA from 1 species
UACGUAGGGUGCGAGCGUUAAUCGGAAUUACUGGGCGUAAAGCGUGCGCAGGCGGUUUUGUAAGCCAGGUGUGAAAUCCCCGGGCUCAACCUGGGAAUGGCAUUUGGGACUGCGAGGCUGGAGUGUGGCAGAGGAGACUGGAAUUCCUGGUGUAGCAGUGAAAUGCGUAGAUAUCAGGAGGAAUACCGAUGGCGAAGGCAGGUCUCUGGGCUGACACUGACGCUCAUGCACGAAAGCGUGGGGAGCAAACAGG